rnacentral:misc_RNA from 1 species
CCGCUCAACAGCCACAGGAGCAAGUGUGGGUUCUACUGCUGAUGUGUGUGUAAGACAAGGCUCAAGAUCAAUAGUUCCACCUCCUUUCUUGACAAUGCAGCAGCGCUCAACACGGUAACUGCAGCCAAUUCCAGCUCCCCAUGCACGGGAACGAACAUUAUUUCUCAGCAUAGAAGUGUAACUGUCUUGUGGAGGCAACACUCGUAUGGUAGCACAUAACUCUUGGAUAGCAGGUGGAGGUGGAGAAGCAGUGGGGCGGCAGUAACCUGUAUGCAUGAGAACAGCAACAAGAUCAGAAUCAUCUGUGUAUAUAUCUGUCCCCCAUAGCUGGCCACCUCUUACUUGCCGAUUUGUAGCAGUAACAUGCUCUGAUGGUAUCCUAAUUUCAAGAGUGGGACCAUUAUGAGUACCUUCACCAUUUUUUUCAGUCUGGGAUGACUCAUACUCCUUCCACAACUUUAUCAAGUCUUGCAUGCAUUCACCAACUUUAUAAACAACAGAGGAUACCUCUGAUUUUCCUUGAGAUCCUUCAUUGUCCUGGGUACGAGACCUAAAACGGGGUUCACGAUUUGCCACUUGAGGGCUGCCCCUAGGCCGAAGCAUCCUCUUACGUUGCUGAACUCCAUAGUUAAAAACUUCCCUUUCCCUUUCUGUGGCACCUUCACCAUCCACACAUCCAUCAUCUGAUUCUUUGUCAUACAACCUGCUGCGCUUCUCAGGUUUAUCCCCUUCCAUGUCAGGGUCUCUUUCUUUCCUCCUGUCUCUAGCUUCUCUAUCAACAUUUUUCCAGCUAUCAAAAUCUUUCGGUUUUUUUCUGCUCCAAAACUGGAUUUUCUUGUUCUGUCACUCUAACAGAUCCAUCCCCUAACUCUUUCUCACUGUGCAAACUCUCUUUCUCAACUCCAUUCCAUGAUUCUCUCUUGGUAAGGUCUUUUUCUCUCUCCCUUUGCCUUUCUCUGUCCUUGGAAAGAUCUUUCCUCUCCCUCUCCCACCUCUCUGCUUCUCUCUCUUCCCUUGCUGAUUCUUUGCCCUCACCACUGUUAUUACCUACUUGAAUAUUGCUCCUCCGAUCAAUUCUUUCUUUGUCCCUGUCUCCCCCCCAUUCCCGGUGUUUCACAUCUUUCCUUUUCCUGUCCUUAUCUUUAAAUUUAUCAUCACCUUUUAAAUCAACUCUAUUCUCACCAACAGCCUCAUGUGUUUCAGGAUAAUCCUUUUCUUCAAUGGUUGAGCCUUCCUUUCCAAUCUCAACUGCACCUUGGGAGUUACCGCGCGACAUAUGCCAAGGAUCCACAUGUCCACCAGGGGAAUCAGAAUAUCUCUUUCCCCUGUGGUAUUCUUUUGAUUCCUUCCAAUUCAAUUGACUAGUUGCUACGCUAAAUCCAUCCUUUUCCAUCUUCAUGUCAUUCUUUGGAUCAUUAUAAGUGUCCUUGUCAUAUUUUAUUUCUUUAUUAUCAUCUGCUCUAUUCUCAAACCUCGAAUCCUUAUCAAUCUUGGUACUUAGGGAAUCCCUCUUUGGCUCGAUGUGCAUGUCUCUUGCUUCAGUCCUCAAAUCUCGACUUUCAACCCUGUAGUCUCUGCUGUCCUUGGAAUCUCUUGAUUCCAGCCUGAUUUCAGAAGCAACUGAAUGAGUAUCCACAUGCAAAUCAUUGGAGCUCGAUGGCACUCUAUAUAUUGAGUGUAAAGGUGAUCUUCUAUCUCCAUCACGAGAUUCAGUACGAGGAAUUUUUGUAAUUCGGGCAUCUGCAGCUAUCUCAUAGGAAGAAGGAUGGUAGUCGCUUGAAACCCCUGAUGCCAGCUUAGGGUAUGCACCUGUUUCUUCAUGUGGGUAUUUUGAAGAAGAAGAUGAGUGAACACUCUCUUCGUGAGAUCUUUUAGGAGCACUACUCAUUGCUAUUUGUAUUCUACAAUAAAUGGAUCAUUUCCC